rnacentral:rRNA from 1 species
UGGGGAAUAUUGGACAAUGUGCGAAAGCCUGAUCCAGCCAUGCCGCGUGUGUGAAGAAGGUCUUCGGAUUGUAAAGCACUUUAAGUUGGGAGGAAGGGCAGUAAGCGAAUACCUUGCUGUUUUGACGUUACCGACAGAAUAAGCACCGGUUAACUCUGUGCCAGCAGCCGCGGUAAUACAGAGGGUGCAAGCGUUAAUCGGAAUUACUGGGCGUAAAGCGCGCGUAGGUGGUUCGUUAAGUUGAAUGUGAAAGCCCCGGGCUCAACCUUGGAACUGCAUCCAAAACAGGCGAGCUAGAGUAGCGCAGAGGGUGGUGGAAUUUCCUGUGUAGCGGUGAAAUGCGUAGAUAUAGGAAGGAACACCAGUGGCGAAGGCAACCACCUGGGCUCAUACUGACACUGAGGUGCGAAAGCGUGGGGAGCAAACAGG